rnacentral:lncRNA from 1 species
AUGGGGUGGGGUGGGGGAGGGGGCACAAAGGGAAGCAGAAGCGACAUUCCUGGAAGACAUUCCUGGAAGACAUUCCGAAGGAAGCCCCUGGCUGCGUAUUCCCGCCUUAUCCCAGCUCGUGGGCUUGUGGGACCACCGCCGCCUUGGGGCAGAGCCGGCCCGGGAAGGAUCAGAACAGCCUGCCCUGAUGCUCUUCCCACCUCCUCCAGUGAAUGGUACAGUCCAAGGACUCUGUGAGUAGCUGGGCGGGAUUGGGGACCAGGGCAAGAAAGGGGAAAGAUGGUUUUCAAAAUACCUUCCUACCCAAAGAGACUUCAGAGCAUGAGUGGGGAAGAUGCAGAUUUGCAUGUCAGCCCUAGAGAGGCAGUGGGAGCCCCCUCUCUCCUUAUAGCCCAGGGACCCACGCCUCUGGGCCCUGGGGAACUGGGGUUCCAGCCUCUCCACCGCUCUUACCCCAUCCCUUUGUCUUGCUUCCCUCAGCUCCCUCCAAGUGACACAAGAAAGAAGGGAUGAGCUGGCCUUGGAAGAGGGGGGUAGAGCCUGGCUUCGGAAAUGGUUGGGUAGAGAGAGACAGACGGCACCCCACUUCCCUGCCCUAACAGGGACCUUGGGCUGAAAUUUUUAUUGCUUUUCUCCCCAGUGGACAGUCAUACAAAAGUAAUCCAGAAACCCCAAAAAGACAGCAAAGAAAAGUUUAGGGACAAAAGAGGGAUGGAGGCAUGGGGGGGAGUGCAGCAGCCCUAAGACUCUACCCUGCGGAGGUGCGACUUUCCCUCCUGGGCAGUAGGCAGGAGCCAGCACAAUGUCCAGUCUCGGAGAGGUCAAGGGGCUUCCGAGGUCAUUUUGUGGUUCUAAUACCGAGCUAAUCGCCUAGAAAACGUGGCCUCUCCAUGAACUCUCUCCUGCCAGCCUCCCACAUCCAAACCCUAAGUGAGGCCUCAGGGAAAAAGGGCCAGCACAUUCAGGUUUGAUGCAGAGCCACUGCCUCCCUGCGCCUGAGGAGCAGGGCCCCAGCAGAGACAACAGAGUUCCCAAACGCAGACAGAAACACCAACCCCAUCACGGAGCCUCUGGGUUCCAGAAAGCCAGGGGGGCAGCUCAGAGGAAGAAUUUUUUUUUUUCCAUCAACGCAUCUCGCCUGUGAGCUGAGCAGUUUCUCGCUGCAGACAGAAGCACGAUAUUUGUCUAGAAUCCCGAGCUCCUCAACACCAGAAGAGAAAAGGAUCGGUCCCAAGCCAGGGCACCGCAUCCCAGAGCUGGAUUCUCUGUGACAACCUCUCACCAGCCAACAGACAGAGGGGACCCGAGCCCCCUGUGUAGACAGGCAAGGGAGCACACCGGCCACACGUGAGCCCCAUAGACACACACGCAUGCACACACGCUGUGCAGUGCCCCGCGCCCGCCUGCAUCCUCCAAAGCCAGACCGGCGCUGCUGGGCGGCCCCGUGGCCAGCCCUCUCCUCUGGGGCUUCUUGGCGGCCCUGCCACCUCGCCCCAGUCAGCUCCAACACCCAUCCAGGACCCAGGCAGCCCUCAUCAUAAAAGGCAGUCAACCUGCCCCAGGGGCCACCGCAAAAAUCCCCGCGCAGACAGUGGAGAAAGAAAAAGAGGAGGAGGCGAGAGAGAGGGUUCUUCUUUUGCUUGUGACAAGAGCUCGUAAAAAAAAAAAACGGUCCAAACCCGCCAGCCCGGCCGGCUUUGUUACCUCUGCACCUCUCGCCUCCUGUGGCCCGAGCGCCGCCGGUCCCACUCAUGAUGAACGGCUUCUUCCAAACUGAGAGAAAAAAGUUUUCAACUUUAUGGUCCGAUUUUUCUCCCCUCGCAGAUCUGGGAGAGGCGGCUAACAGUUUUUUCCCCCAGCAGCCGGUCUGUGGAGAUUUGCUGUUGAAUAAUAACAAAGGAGAGAGGAUACGUAUUUAAAGAAAAGAAGUGAUUAAUGGUUUUCCGUAUAAUUCUCACAUUUUUCUUAGCUCUUGUCUUACACAGAAUGACUGUGAACUUUAAGCUCCAUAGAAAUCUUUUUUUUUUUUUAAAUUCUAUUCAUACCUUCCAAGGAGCAGCUUUGAUUUGGUUCUUUUAGAGAGAUUCCGGUGGGGGGGGGGGGCAUCUGCUUUUUCAGAACUAUUUUCCCCCUCUGCUAAGGGCUGUCCCUGUCUCUCCUUGCAGCUAAGACACCACCCCGCGACGCCACGGAAACAAAGCUCGCCCCCUCUCCCUCCAGGUCCAGGGUGAUUUUUCCUAAGUCCCCCGGCCGAGCUGCGUUGAAUCGGGCACUUCCACUGCCCUCUCCAGCGCUGAGGACCCAGGCCCCCUCGGUUCCCCCUGGCCCUAACCACUCUCCAGUUAUUGCCCUGCAAACCAGAGGAAUGCAAAAUAAAAAACAAUAAAAUGUGUGGGUGUGUCUGGCU